rnacentral:sRNA from 1 species
UCAGUAAGAUUAUGUUAAGGUAUGCAGUCAGUAAAAUCAUGUUAAGGUAUGCAAUCAGUAAAAUCAUGUUAAGGUAUCAGUCAGUUAGAUCAUGUAUGCAGUCAGUUAGAUCAUGUUAAGGUAUGCAGUCAGUUAGAUCAUGUUAAGGAAUGCAGGCAGUAAGAUCAUGUUAAGGAAUGCAGUCAGUAAAAUCAUGUUAAGGUAUGUAGUCAGUUAGAUCAUGUUAAGGUAUCAGUCAGUUAGAUCAUGUAUGCAGUCAGUUAGAUCAUGUAUGCAGUCAGUUAGAUCAUGUAUGCAGUCAGUUAGAUCAUGUAUGCAGUCAGUUAGAUCAUGUAUGCAGUCAGUUAGAUCAUGUAUGCAGUCAGUUAGAUCAUGUAUGCAGUCAGUUAGAUCAUGUAUGCAGUCAGUUAGAUCAUGUUAAGGUAUGCAGUCAGUUAGAUCAUGUUAAGGUAUGCAGUCAGUUAGAUCAUGUAUGCAGUCAGUUAGAUCAUGUUAAGGUAUGCAGUCAGUUAGAUCAUGUUAAGGUAUGCAGUCAGUAAGAUCAUGUUAAGGUGUGCAGUCAGUAAGAUCAUGUUAAGGUAUGCAAGUCCAACGAUAUCAGAAGUUGAAGUUAAUUAGAGAAGGGGAAAUAGAAA